AGAACGAACGCUGGCGGCAUGCCUAAUACAUGCAAGUCGAACGAACACUUCGGUGUUAGUGGCGCACGGGUGCGUAACGCGUGGGAAUCUGCCCUUGGGUUCGGAAUAACAGUUGGAAACGACUGCUAAUACCGGAUGAUGACGAAAGUCCAAAGAUUUAUCGCCCAGGGAUGAGCCCGCGUAGGAUUAGCUAGUUGGUGAGGUAAAGGCUCACCAAGGCGACGAUCCUUAGCUGGUCUGAGAGGAUGAUCAGCCACACUGGGACUGAGACACGGCCCAGACUCCUACGGGAGGCAGCAGUGGGGAAUAGUGGGCAAUGGGGCGCAAGCCUG
rnacentral:rRNA from 1 species